CCUCCUUUUCUUGACCAGGGCCUGGCGUCUGGUCAUGCUUCCCAUUAUGUACGGAGGCAGAAGAAAGGGCUCCAGCCCCCUGGGUAUCAUGUCUUCCAUGCCGCGGCCCAUUCGCCAGUUCUACCCUCAAACACCAGCUCACAG
rnacentral:snoRNA from 1 species